GGCCUGUUGGUCAAGUGGUUAAGAUGCCACCCUCUCAAGGUGGAGUCACGAGUUCAAUUCUCGUACAGGCUACCA
rnacentral:tRNA from 1 species